rnacentral:rRNA from 1 species
CCCUUAGAUGUUCUGGGCCGCACGCGUGCUACACUGAUGCAUUCAACGAGUCUAAAACCUGGUCUGAUAGGGCUGGGUAAUCUUUUGAAAGUGCAUCGUGAUUGGGAUAGAUGAUUGCAAUUCUUCAUCUUCAACGAGGAAUGCCUAGUAAACGCAAGUCAUCAGCUUGCAUUGAUUACGUCCCUGCCCUUUGUACACACCGCCCGUCGCUCCUACCGAUUGAAUGUUCCGAUGAAUACCAUGGACUGAGAGUAUGAAUGGGUUCGCCUAUUUCUGCUUCUCGGGAAGUGGAGUAAAUCUUAACAUUUAGAGGAAGGAGAAGUCGUAACA